GCCGGGUGUGGUGGCGGGCACCUGUAGUCCCAGCUACUUGGGAGGCUGAGGCAGGAGAGUGGUGUGAACCUGAGAGGCGGAGCUGGCAGUGAGAUGAGAUCAUGCUAUUGCACUCUCCAGCCUGGGUGACAGAGUGAGACUCCAUCUCCANNNNNNNNNNUGGAGAUGGAGUCUCACUCUGUCACCCAGGCUGGAGAGUGCAAUAGCAUGAUCUCAUCUCACUGCCAGCUCCGCCUCUCAGGUUCACACCACUCUCCUGCCUCAG
rnacentral:SRP_RNA from 1 species